UGCAACGUGGCUCAGUUGGUAGAGUGUUUGCCUAGCAUGCACGAAGACCUGGGUUCCAUCCCCGGCAUCCCAU
rnacentral:tRNA from 1 species